CGGACGGGUGAGUAACGCGUGGAUAACCUGCCUCACACUGGGGGAUAACAGUUAGAAAUGACUGCUAAUACCGCAUAAGCGCACAGUACCGCAUGGUACAGUGUGAAAAACUCCGGUGGUGUGAGACGGAUCCGCGUCUGAUUAGCCAGUUGGCGGGGUAACGGCCCACCAAAGCGACGAUCAGUAGCCGACCUGAGAGGGUGACCGGCCACAUUGGGACUGAGACACGGCCCAA
rnacentral:rRNA from 1 species